rnacentral:hammerhead_ribozyme from 1 species
GCACUGCUGAGGAGUCCCAUAAUAGGACGAAACGGCCGCCCAGCGC